AGGAUGACUUCCACUUUGAUCCGC
rnacentral:piRNA from 1 species